rnacentral:rRNA from 1 species
UACAGAGGGUGCGAGCGUUGUUCGGAAUUAUUGGGCGUAAAGGGCGCGUAGGCGGUGCGGUAAGUCACCUGUGAAACCUCUGGGCUUAACUCAGAGCCUGCAGGCGAAACUACCGUGCUGGAGUGUGGGAGAGGUGCGUGGAAUUCCCGGUGUAGCGGUGGAAUGCGUAGAGAUCCGGAAGAACACCGGUGGCGAAGGCGGCCCGCUGGGCAACUGCUGACACUGAUGCGCGACAGCGUGGGGAGCAAACAGG